rnacentral:rRNA from 1 species
GGGCCCGCACAAGCGGUGGAGCAUGUGGUUUAAUUCGAUGAUACGCGAGGAACCUUACCAAGGCUUAAAUGUAGAGGGACAGGCGGCGAAAGUUGCCCUUCUUCGGACUCUCUACAAGGUGCUGCAUGGUUGUCGUCAGCUCGUGCCGUGAGGUGUCGGGUUAAGUCCCAUAACGAGCGCAACCCCUAUCUUUAGUUGCCAGCGGUUCGGCCGGGGACUCUAAAGAAACUGCCCGCGCAAGCGGUGAGGAAGGUGGGGAUGACGUCAAAUCAUCACGGCCCUUACGUCUUGGGCUACACACGUGCUACAAUGGUAGUGACAAUGGGCAGCCACUCCGCGAGGAGGCGCAAAUCCACAAACACUAUCUCAGUUCGGAUUGGGGUCUGCAACUCGACCCCAUG